CGAUGCAGAGUGCCUGUAACUUAAUUAAGGCAACGACGCAGUCCCAACCGCGACUCUGCAGUGAACACCAGUUUCUACAUUCGAGUUCGCAAUAUUAUCUAGUUCGCUCUUUCCGAGCAUGUUACGCGCAGAAUGGCCGACGGAAAUUGUAUUUGUUGCGCCCUACCUAGCUGUCUCCUUCUGUAAAAUCUAUUUUGUGGAAUACACGGUCAAUUAACCACCACAAGCCGAACUGCUUGCCAAACAAUAUUUCACUUUUUUUACGGCCCAAGACAUCUUUAUUAGAGGAUUUAAAGUUUCAUUUAAAAAUUAAUUGCUAAUAAAAAUGAUAAAACCAAAAAGAAUAAGAUAAAUUAAUAUAAGAGAUCUAGGUAAUAUAUAACUUUGGUAAUCGUUGUAUAUAUAAAUAUAUAUUUCAUCAACAGAAGACAGUUUAUCGCUGGGUUUAUAAACAUAAAAAAAGACAUAAAAUUUAGUAAGAGGUAAAGGUUUUAGUAGUCGGCAGCGUAUAUCUGACCGAUUAAAAUGUGACGACUGAAACGUAAAGUUGAUUUAUGAUCAAUACAGUGAAACCACCUAAUGUUGGCGGCAACACUGAUUCUUCAACAAAGCACGUGCAUAAGCAAAGGACAUCUCUGUCAUUUAAAGAGGUGUCAAUAACAAUCGCUUUUACGAGAUACUUAUUAAUUGUUACGAUGCUUUUACGAUGACAUAAAAAUGAAGCUACGACUAAGCAAGACAAGUGUCUACGGCGAAUGAGGAGAGAAGAGAGUAGGAUUACAUCAAUGGAUUAUUGCCUCCGCUACCAUCAUCGUAUAUUACUUAUACACCACUUUUUCAAGUUAGUCGAAUACCCACUCAACUCAACUGAUGCUGGCAUAGAGGCGAAAGCAAAGAAUGAAAUCAAGUUAAGCCGGCAAUAAAAAAAAGGGUGGCAAAGUGAAAAUUAGAUUGAAACUACGGAUAGCAGUAGCCGGAAAUAGAAAAUUCUAAAGCAAAUACAUCUAGGACAGUAAAGAGCGUGGGAAGGAGCAAUGAACUCAAGGACACAGACCCGGGAAAAUGCCUCAGCUAUUAUGUCGUCGAUGCGUACAGAUGAGAAUUUGAACAACCAUGAAUGGUAACAGUUACCAUCUUCGAUUGUAACAAUUAUAGUCUUCAAUAGUUACAAUUAGCAUCUUCGAUAGCAGUCGUCACCACCAUCAAUAGUAGUUAAACUGGGGGGCUUCACCCCCCCGAUAAAACAGAUUUCUGCAGAUUUUCAGAGGCUGUUGCGCUUUGAACAGU